rnacentral:rRNA from 1 species
GUGCACGCUGGCGGUAGGCCUAACACAUGCAAGUCGAACGGCAGCACAGUAAGAGCUUGCUCUUACGGGUGGCGAGUGGCGGACGGGUGAGGAAUACAUCGGAAUCUACUUUUUCGUGGGGGAUAACGUAGGGAAACUUACGCUAAUACCGCAUACGACCUACGGGUGAAAGCAGGGGAUCUUCGGACCUUGCGCGAUUGAAUGAGCCGAUGUCGGAUUAGCUAGUUGGCGGGGUAAAGGCCCACCAAGGCGACGAUCCGUAGCUGGUCUGAGAGGAUGAUCAGCCACACUGGAACUGAGACACGGUCCAGACUCCUACGGGAGGCAGCAGUGGGGAAUAUUGGACAAUGGGCGCAAGCCUGAUCCAGCCAUACCGCGUGGGUGAAGAAGGCCUUCGGGUUGUAAAGCCCUUUUGUUGGGAAAGAAAUCCAGCCGGCUAAUACCUGGUUGGGAUGACGGUACCCAAAGAAUAAGCACCGGCUAACUUCGUG